AGUGAACGCUGGCGGUAGGCCUAACACAUGCAAGUCGAACGGCAGCACAGUAAGAGCUUGCUCUUACGGGUGGCGAGUGGCGGACGGGUGAGGAAUACAUCGGAAUCUACUUUUUCGUGGGGGAUAACGUAGGGAAACUUACGCUAAUACCGCAUACGACCUACGGGUGAAAGCAGGGGAUCUUCGGACCUUGCGCGAUUGAAUGAGCCGAUGUCGGAUUAGCUAGUUGGCGGGGUAAAGGCCCACCAAGGCGACGAUCCGUAGCUGGUCUGAGAGGAUGAUCGGCCACACUGGAACUGGGACACGGACCAGACUCCGACGGGAGGCAGCAGUGGGGAAUAUUGGACAAUGGGCGCAAGCCUGAUCCAGCCAUACCGCGUGGGUGAAGAAGGCCUUCGGGUUGUAAAGCCCUUUUGUUGGGAAAGAAAAGCAGCAGGUUAAUACCCCGCUGUUCUGACGGUACCCAAAGAAUAAGCACCGGCUAACUUCGUG
rnacentral:rRNA from 1 species